rnacentral:lncRNA from 1 species
CAUAGGCCUAAGCCAGCCCCCACUCAGGAGCAGCUGGUUUGGAGGUACCCUGGCUUGACCUGCAGGCUUAGGCCUCUGGGCUCCCAGGAUUCGUCCCAGUGUUUUCUUUUUCUUUUUUUUUCUUUCUUUCUUUUUUUUUUAUGUUAAGAUUUUUUUUAAAAAAAAUCUUUAUUUUAUUUAUUUAUAUGUGGUGCUGAGGAUCGAACUCAGGGCUUCACGCAUGGUAGACAAGUACUCUACUUCUGAGCCACAACUCCAGCCCUGUCCCUGUGUUUUCCAAGGGACUUUCCACCACUUUACAUGACCCUCCUCAAGAGCAGGACAGAGCCACUGACCCCAUCCGCCCAGUAGUGGGUCAAAGAUCAUACAGUGUUAGGACAGUUGGUCCUGCACGCUACCUUGGCUGCUGACCCUAAAUGUGAGGCUGUCACUCUCCAGGGUCUGCAAACUAGAGGGUGACCAUUUAUUUAUUUUUAAAUUUUUUCUUGUAGAUGGACAGAAUGCCUUUAUUUUAUUUGUGUAUUUUCAUGUGGGACUGAGGAUCAAACCCAGUGCCUCAUGCAUGCUAGGCAAGCGCUCUGCCGCUCAGCCCCAGCCCCAGCCCCCGAGGGUGCAUUUAUAACCACACACUGAACACUGGCCAUAGCAUUCGGGUGGACUUAGCAGCACCCUGAGAUGCCAGCCUGGACCAAGCACAAGACACAGAGGAACCAGGUUACCUAACUGGGAUUCAAAUGCAAUUUCCCUCAUUCCAACAGGCUCAUCCUUAACCACUCACCCCACUGGCCUCCCCUCCCCUACAGGUCAACAGGAAGGAGGGGGUGUCUGGCAGUGCCAGCCCCAGUGGGGCCCAGGCAGAGGAUCUGAUCAAGGAGGAGGGGAGGGGUCACCCACACUGGGCAAGAUUCUGAUCCCAGAUCUGCGGGGGGAGGGGGCUCCAGUCACGCACCCAGCAACACCCUUUUGUGGAUGGGAUUACCAGGGGCCAUCACUCUGUGCCCCAGCUGUGCCACCAGCAAACAGCUCCACAAACAAGGCCUGCCUGUGUCUGGGAACAAGUGUGUCUUUGUGGCCGUGGCUGUGCACCCCACCCUCCCAGCGGGCCUCAGCCACUUGUGCCUACUGGGCCACCCAGAAGGCUUCCCACGCUCUUCCCAGAGGGCUCCCCGGACCUUGGCAGAAAAUGCAAAAUGGUGGUUAGGGGAACAGCACAAGUGGCCAGAUGCCCCAGCACGGGGGCUCCUGUUCUGUGGGGUGAUGGUGCUGCUGGCCUCAGGAGGGGUCCCUCUGGGGAGGUGCUGCUGGGGAAAGGCUCUGUAUGUGGAGAAGCAGCGGUGAGCCCAGAAGCCCUGGUGUGACGUGUGUGUGUGUGUGUGUGUGUGUGUGUGUAGAACAUCUUGAAGGAUGCAGGAAGACCUCCUGUGCAGACUUGAGAGAGGAGUGGAGUGCCACUGUCAUCAGAGCUCAGGGCUGGCUGUCAGCAGACCACCGUGCGGGCAGGGUGCAGACCAGCAGCAAAGAGCUUCGCGUUGGUUCACCCCACAAGCUUGCAGGAGGCUCUGGGUUCAAUCCACAGCACCGCCCAAAUCAACAAGAGCAUAAGCUUUGGGGCCUGGCUGCUCAUUUUCCGUAUUGUGGUAAAAUGCACAUAAGUGAAUUUGUGCUCUCGGCCAUUUUCAGGUACAAAGUCUGGGGCACUCAGCACCUUCACUCCCCAAACUGACCCUGUCCGCAGCAAAUGCUGAUUCCCGUGCUCCUCAAACUUUGUGCUCCAGCCUGCUCUCUGAUUGCCGCUCGAGGGGCCUCAAGCAAGCAGAACCACACGGUGUUUGUCCUUCCAUGCUUUCUUCACUCAGCAUGGUGUCCUCAAAGUGAUCUGUGUUAGUCACCCGCGAUUUUCUUCCUUUUUUUUUUGGUACUGGAGAUUGAACCCAGGGCACUCUACUACUCAGCUACAUCCAUAGUCUCCCCCGUUUUGUUUUUUUUCUUUUUUUUGAGACAAGUUCUCAACUGAAGUUGGCCAGGCUGGCCUUGAACUUGUGAUCCUCCUGCCUCAGCCUCCUGGGUCUCGGGGAUUACAGGUGUGUAUCAUUGUGUCCUCUUGCUCCUGGGUUAUUGACCUGCAGAAACUGAGAGGUAAGAAAUGAUUGUCACUGCCAGGUGUGGGAGUGCACACCUAUCCGUAAUGCUGGCUACCUGGGAGGCCGAGGCAGAAGGAUUGCAAGUUCCAGGCCAGCCUCUGCAACUUAGUGAAACCCUGACUCUGAUAAAUAAAUAAAAUAAAAGGGGCUAGAGGCCUAGCUCAGUGGUAGAGCACUCGGGGUUCAUUCCCAAGUACCACAAAAAAAAAAAAAAAAAGAGGAAAGAAAUGCUUGCUGCUGUUCUCUGCCUGUCUUGGGGUCACUGGUUAAGCAGCCACAGGUAACUGACACACUGGCCUUUUCCGACGUUAGCCCAGCACAGCGCCUGGCCAUUUGCUGAGCAAAGAGGUGGAUGUGGUAGUGAUCCUGGACUUGUCAUCCCCUCAGCUAUUUGUCCCAUUUUCUGUCCCCUUCUUUGAUUCCCUGAUCUGGCCUGCCAGGGCCUUGUGGUGGUCAUGGUCUGGCUGGCACAGGAGUCCCAGACCCUCCCUAUGCAUGCCCAAUAUGUGGACACUGCCCCAGGGCCUUCUUCAGAUGGCUUUCCCAGGUGGCCCUCCCACGAACGGUGCCCAACCCAUUCCCAAUAGGAUGGGAGCUCCUGGCUGGGCUCCUUGGAGAGAGUGGUUCCUGCUGCCCAUGACCUGCUCUCUCCGAUAUACCAGGGUUGGGACAUUGAGGGCAUCCUGGGAGGAGCUGUCCAUGUGGACACUGAGCAAGAUGGGCCAAGUGGCGCAGCUAAGCACGGCAACUCUGGAGCACCAGGCCCACUUACAAGUCCUUGGCAGGUCCUUGGCUGCCGCCCUCCACGGCUCCUGUGCUUUCCUCCUCCUCCUCCACUGCUUCCCGCACGGAAACCUGGCUCUGUCUCCUGCUCCUGGUUACAGAGCUGGGGUGUAGCUCAGCAGGAGAAUGCCGGCCUAGCACAUGGGCCCUACAUUCAAUCCCCAGUGCCACAAAAAAGCCCAGAACACUAGUUACAGGAGGCCAUUGUUUAGGACCCAGCUGCUGUACCGGGCCCCCAGAAACCAGUCUGAACACCAAAAGGAGGCCACUCAGUGAAAGUUCCACAUGGCCAGGCUAAAACCCAGCUGUUAUCUGACCUUCCUGGAAUCAGGAGCAGAGAGAUUCCGCCACAUUCCCAAGCAGGCCAGCUCCUAUGGCAUGACAGAGCUCACCCGACACAAACAUGAAACCCAUGCUAACCCAGCAGGCAUUUCCCCAUUGCUGUCUCCCAUGGGUCCCUGCAAGGACAGGAACCUCCCAAUAACCCAGCUGUUUCUGCUUCCCUCAGCUCUUCCCUGUCUAUGAAGCCUACCUGUCCUGCUCAGCCUCUUGGCACAUGAAUUCUGGCUUACAGAAUGAAGUGUUGCCCAGCUCUGAUAUUGAAAAUAAAGCCCAUUGAGAUCUGUAAAACUGGGCUGGGGGUGUGGCUCAGCGGUUGAGGGCUCGCCUAGCAUGUGCGAGGCCCUGGGUUCGAUCCUCAGCACCACGUAAAAAUAAAAUAAAAGUAUUGUGUCCAACUACAACUAAAUAAACAAAAUAUUUUUAAAAA